rnacentral:misc_RNA from 1 species
UUUCCGUAGGUGAACCUGCGGAAGGAUCAUUAUUGUAUAAGCGGGGUCCGAGGCCUGUCGCUGGCACGAGAGUUCGUGCACGCCCGGGUUCCCUCACCCAUACCCAUCUCACCCCUUUGUGCACCACCGCGUGGGUCACCCUUUGGCGUGUUCGGGGGGGGGCUUACGUUUUCACAAAAACUUUGUAUGCAGUGUAGAAUGUAUUUUUUGUGUUUGCGAUCACGCAAUCAAUACAACUUUCAACAACGGAUCUCUUGGCUCUC